rnacentral:rRNA from 1 species
GACGAACGCUGGGGCAUGCCUAAUACAUGCAAGUCGAGCGAACAGAUGAAGUGCUUGCACUUCUGACGUUAGCGGCGAACGGGUGAGUAACACGUAAGGAAUCUACCUAUAAGCGGGGGAUAACAUUCGGAAACGGGUGCUAAUACCGCAUAAUAUCUUCUUCCGCAUGGAAGAAGAUUGAAAGACGGCUCUGCUGUCACUUAUAGAUGACCUUGCGGUGCAUUAGUUAGUUGGUGGGGUAACGGCCUACCAAGACGAUGAUGCAUAGCCGACCUGAGAGGGUGAUCGGCCACAGUGGGACUGAGACACGGCCCAAACUCCUACGGGAGGCAGCAGUAGGGAAUCUUCCGCAAUGGGCGAAAGCCUGACGGAGCAAUGCCGCGUGAGUGAAGAAGGCCUUCGGGUCGUAAAACUCUGUUAUAAGAGAAGAACAAAUUGUAGAGUAACUGCUACAGUCUUGACGGUAUCUUAUCAGAAAGCCACGGCUAACUACGUGCCAGCAGCCGCCGUAA